rnacentral:rRNA from 1 species
AUGGAAAGUCCGGCCUGCCCGGUGAGAGAUUCUCUUAAACGGCAGUAGUAAAGUUCUUUAAUCGUAGCUCAAUUUUCUUGCCCUUUAAUUGUGGAGCGAUGUGAAUGGUAAGACGAGGGUUCAACUGUCUCGCUGUUACGAAGUGAAAACGGAGUGUAGGUGAAAAUACCUACAUGGAUUAUAGGGACGACAAGACCCCGUGGAGCUUUAGUGUGCUAUUUUCUAGCUGAAUUUAGGUUACUUAGGCUGGGGCAGCCAGAUGGGAAGCAAAUACCAUUUGAGAGACGCUUGAGGCGUGCGGGCUUUUAACGAUCCACCUCCCUUGAAAUAAUGGGGAAAAUUGUGUGUAUGUAUGCAGAAAGAGGUGAAAGACGGAACAACGUUACCCCGGGGGUAACAGGCUAAUUUCGCUCUGAGAGAUCCUGUCGAUGAGCGGGUUUGGCACCUCGAUGUUGGCUUAGGGUAUCCCGAAGAUGCAGGGGUCUUCAAAGGUUGGUCUGUUCGCCCAUUAAAACCCU